rnacentral:misc_RNA from 1 species
UGUAGGAGCCGGCUUGCUGGCGAUAGCGGUCUUCCAGUCAAUGUCUUUAUUGACUGGGUCAGCGCUAUCGCCAGCAAGCCGGCUCCUACA